rnacentral:rRNA from 1 species
CGGCCGACGGCCUCGUAUCGCGACUGCAUGUCCCGUGCGUCGCGGAGCGUUGGUGCUGGGGUCAUGCGUACUAGGUGGCGUGCGCGGCGUCGCCGUAGUCCCUCCUUCGGUUAGCUGGCUGUGUCAGCGCACGGGCUCCGUGUCCGUUCGUCUCCUGGUAACCCCGGCCACAUCGUGCUUGUGGGGCACAUUGUAAGGCGACGUUCGCUUCUAUCGCUUACACGUCGGGCCCCGUUUUCUUUCUUCUCCUACGGGCCUGCGUGUGUCUUCAUCUGUUUCUUUUUCUCUCAGCUUUUCUUCCGCGGUAUCACGUUUCCCCCACAUACUACACAUUCUCCAGGUCUUCUUCGCUGCGUAAUUUUGUUUUUGUUUUUGUUGUCUUUCUCUGCUUCCGUGUGGUUCUGAUCCCCUCUCCUUUUUUCCGUUCUUGCGGUGAUGCCGUCUCGGUGUUUGGUUGAUUCGGUUGGUCUUUCUAGUGUGUCGGUUGGCUCAGAUUUGGGCGAUUCGCCCUACCCGUUCAUGUCGUUAUGGUCUUUUUAGGUGGGUCGUUCCUCUUCUUUCAAUGGCUUGUUCUGAGGGUUGCCAACCCGCGAGGGGGAGCCAAUCCCACAUAGCCAGUCGUAGUCCGGAUCGCAGUCUGCAUCUCGACUGCGUGUCGUUGGAAUUGNUUGUAAUCGAGGAUCAGAUCGUCCAGGUGACGACGUUAUCCGGUUCUGGUCCCUCGCCGCCAGUGCCCGUCAAGGCAUGGAUUUGGCCGGUACGUAAGUAGCGUGACUUCAAGGGGGGCGGUUUCAGGUAAAAGGUAUAGAGUGGGGGUGAAAUGGUAGUCACAAGAUAUAUGGAAAAGCAUGAGCGCGCCGAGCACGAGAGGGAGUGCGGCCCAAUUCGCUCUAAUAGUCUAGCUGGUGCUCGUGANCCAUCAAGCC